rnacentral:tRNA from 1 species
GGUGACAUAGCUCAGUUGGUAGAGUGCUUGCCUUGCAUGCACAAAGCCCUGGGUUCCAUCCCCAGCACCA